rnacentral:lncRNA from 1 species
GAGACAAGAAAAUACUUUCACAACUCAAGACAAGUUAAAUAUCCACUUAUGGGAACAGUGCUGAAGGCCUGGACUAGGAUGGUAGCAAUGGAGACAGACUAAAGAAAGAGAUGCAAUCAUUCCCUCGCAUAUGGUGCGUAUGAAGAUGGGAUCAUUAUAGGAAAGGUGAAGGAGAUGCAGUCAUUAUGCUCUAUAUACACCCAUUUUUAUGGCUAGCAGCUGAAGAUGGGAUGCUUUCUUUGCUGGAAGACCUAUUACCUGUUAGGUUGCAAAAGAUGUGAUCAUCUUCCUAAACAAUAAUUUAGAGUCCCAUAACAAUUUUAAGUGUGCUGAUCAUGAAAAUUUGAAUACAUUGUAUUGGGAAUAUAAUGGAAGUGAGAUGCCUCAUGUCAUGAGAAAAUCUGACAUAAACUCCUUAAGCAUGAGAGGCCAUGUGGGUAUGGAAGCCCUGAAGGGGAGGAAAAAACAGCCAGACCCUAGCUAUUCCAGUCUUCCCAACUGAGGUGCCAGACUUGUGAAUGAGGCCAUCUUGCAUCAUCUAGGCCUAGCAGAGCUGCCAACUGACUGCAGAUACAUGAGUCAAUCCAGCUAAUGCCACAUGGAGCAGAGACAAGCCGCCCAGCUGAGCCCAGUCCAGAUGACAGAAUCAUGAGCAAAUAAGGUUGUUGUUCUUUUAAGCUACUAAAUUUUCGGGUGAUUUGUUACACAGUAAUAAAUAACUGAAACAACUA